rnacentral:tRNA from 1 species
GCCAACGUGGCGGAAUCCGGUAACGCGACGGUCUCGAAAACCGUUUCCUUCGGGAAUUCCAGGUUCAAAUCCUGGCGUUGGCG